rnacentral:rRNA from 1 species
UACAGCGGUCCCAAGCGUUGUUCGGAAUUACUGGGCGUAAAGCGCGCGUAGGCGGCUUUGCAAGUCGGGUGUGAAAUCCCCAGGCUUAACCUGGGAACUGCAUUCGAGACUGCAUUGCUAGAGUAUGGGAGAGGGAAGUGGAAUUUCCGGUGUAGCGGUGAAAUGCGUAGAUAUCGGAAGGAACAUCAGUGGCGAAAGCGACUUCCUGGACCAAUACUGACGCUCAUGUGCGAAAGCGUGGGGAGCAAACAGG